UAGGACCUACGGGACGCAGCAGUGGGGAAUAUUGCACAAUGGGGGAAACCCUGAUGCAGCAACGCCGCGUGAGUGAAGAAGGUUUUCGGAUUGUAAAGCUCUAUCAGCAGGGAAGAUAAUGACGGUACCUGACUAAGAAGCCCCGGCUAACUACGUGCCAGCAGCCGCGGUAAUACGUAGGGGGCAAGCGUUAUCCGGAUUUACUGGGUGUAAAGGGAGCGUAGGUGGCAGGGCAAGUCAGAUGUGAAAACCCGGGGCUCAACUCCGGGAGUGCAUUUGAAACUGUCCAGCUAGAGUGCAGGAGA
rnacentral:rRNA from 1 species